UAAUACGGAAUGUGCAAACGUUAUUCGGAAUCACUGGGCUUAAAGAGUCCGUAGGCGGCAUGUUAGGUGAGGUGUGAAAUCCCCCGGCUCAACCGAGGAAUUGCGCUUCAAACCGGCGUGCUUGAGGAAGAUAGAGGUGGGCGGAACUGAUGGUGGAGCGGUGAAAUGCGUUGAUAUCAUCAGGAACACCGGAGGCGAAGGCGGCCCACUGGGUCUUUUCUGACGCUGAGGGACGAAAGCUAGGGGAGCGAACGGGAUUAGAUACCCCGGUAGUCCUAGCCUUAAACGAUGAGCACUAGACCGAAGAAUCUCCACGAUUUUUUGGUCGUAGCGAAAGUGUUAAGUGCUCCGCCUGGGGAGUAUGGUCGCAAGGCUG
rnacentral:rRNA from 1 species